rnacentral:lncRNA from 1 species
GACAGCUGAGAUGCUGAGAUAAUUGUGGGAGGAGUCAGGCUAUGCACAAAUUCUAAAGACAUAUUGUGAAGGGUACAUGCCUGGGCUCACUCCUCACAGAGCUGGAGUAUGAGAAGGAGAUCUUGCUAAGAAACUCCCCCAUCUGGUCUGACACUGAAGCUCCUGUCCCCUGAGGUUUUGUCUUCAGCAAGGAGCAGGAGGUAAAGUCUCUAGGAUGUUCAGCCUUCUGUUACAGCAGUAAAACGAGACAUCCUAAGGGGCCUGAUGUACAACAGGUAAAAGACAAGAUGCUAUAACCCUGGACGAUGGGAAUUUAGGAU